UAUGCUGGUGAUAUAAGCUAUACAACUGGCCUUCCUUUGAGCUUGAAGUACAAAAUUAAUACUUCAAAUAUUAAUCAUUAUUUCUAACCUUGUCAAUGUCUUGACUAUAUUUUCUACUCAAUUUUCAAUUCAUUUGAUAAAUAAAAGUGAGUUUUCAUGGAAGACACGAAAUUGUCUGGAUGACCCCAAACUUUUGAACGGUAGUGUAUAUAAUAUUAAUUUUGAGAGACUGACUCAAUGACAUCAUUCCUGGGCAGCACCGUGGGUUCAAUUCUCCUUCUGUGUGGAGUUUGCAUGUUAAAGCGUGGGUUCCCUCCAGGCUUCCUCCCAAAGCUCAGGUUAAUUGAUCUCUAAAUGGCCUAUAACUUUGAAUGUGAGAAUUACAUUAAAUGUCAUUUAGCUGACGAUUUUAUCCAAAGCGAUUUACAAUCCUGUUACAUUCAUACACCGUAGACGCAGCUACAGGGAGCAAUUCAGGGUUAAGUGUCUUGCUCAAGGACACAUCGACUAGGGCGGGGAUUGAACCUCCAACCCCACGAUUGAAGGACAGACCUGCUACCCACCGACCCAUAGUCGCCCCAUGAACGUUUCUCUGUCUCUAUGUGUGUCCUGAGAUGGACUGUACCCUGCCUUCGCCCAAUGUCAGCUGGGAUCGGCGCCCCGCGCCCCGAACGAGGAUAAGCGGGACGGAUAAUAACGACUCAUUUCCUAAUAAUGAGCAUCACCUGUGUUUCUAUAAUAAUUGACACUUUGAGUAUUCAUUCAGCUUCAAAGCUUUCCAGUAGAAGGCGGCACACGUAGACGCUUUACAAUACGUGAGCCAUUAUGUCUGCUGUCCUUUUAUCUGCUCUAAACUGCCUCCACUUAUCUCCCCCCCCCCCCCCAAAAAAAGAAGCGUUAUCAUUUUGUCUCGGCAGCAAUGUCGACGGCCCCGCAGGCUUCUUUCAGGACUCACUGGGCUCCACAUCGAUUAAAGACCGUGAUGGGUGAUAGCAGCAGGAGGAGGAGGAGGAUAUCUGUCACAGAGGAGGCUCAUUGAUGGAGUGACUCGGCCUGGGCAGCAAUCUAAAGUCUUCAGAGGUAAACAAGACAACAGGACGAGCACACGGCGCCAUGCCCGCGAGUCGUUGGGAAUCGAUGUGCAGUCGUCCUUUCACCCGGAGACAAACGUCUGCGGAGGACACUUUUUAUUGCCGAUGACGACUGUUUUAAUCGGGACAUCUACGCCGCCGUCUUCUGCAGCUUCCUCCUGAGCGUGUGUCAAAUGAAGACGUGGUCAUAGAGAGAGAGACAUAGAGGAAGCAAUCGAAACAAACAACGUUAAGCCGUGGUGUGACCUUCACCUCAGGGGUCACAUGGCAAAAGUCACAUGACGUCAUCACGACAGCUCGGCGGUAGAGCGGCCCGUGAGAGGCUUUGCAUCUGGAACUGUAUCAGCCGUGAGGCGAGCACACACAUUGUGUUCUUUGACUUGAAUAUGACUGGUAUCCCAACACGAUGCCACGAUGGUCAAAAAGUCCUCUUCAUAUGCUAAUUAGAUAGUAAUAGUGGAGAGAUGAGUAAAUACAAGAAAAGGGAUGUAAUAAAUAAAAAAAGGAUUUGAAUCUUGACGGGUUACGGCUCGCUUCUUAACCCCCAAACGACGGAACAAAUAAAUACUUGGUAAAUCCAUAUAUUCAGAAGAUUUGCAUGAAGCGUGGAGCCGGAGUAAGAGGGGUGUGCUUAGCUUAGCGUAGUUAUAACGUUAGCUUCAAUAACGUCCUCAGCGGAGGGAGGGCCGGCUAACCCUUGACCAAAAUCUCCCGUGGUUGUUAUUUUGAGUGCGCUCAGAUAAAUGUAAACAGCUGAGACAUUAUGGCUGAUUAAAGUACACCGCGUGACUCACUCUCAACCAAUCAGAAUGCUUGAUUUCAUCUACCCGUGUUCUACGAAGCAUAACGACUGGAAGCUAAGCGGCUCUACCAGCACCUCUGAACGUACUUCAUGCCGUCCGGUAUUGUGUCUGUUCGAUGCUCCUCCUGCCGGCUACCUGCAACCUCACUGAUUACAACUCUGGGAGAGCAAUGCAUCGUUUGACAAUAGCCACAGCGUCGUAAAAAAAACACUAACAGUGAUUUUAUAUACUGUAUUUCUGCCACGUACUGUUGGUCGGCUUCUUCUCUUCCCUUUGGACAAAGCCAGGUUUAUUGAUUGAUUUAAAGAACUGUCAGUAUUUCAUCCUGCAGCCUAUUUGAGUCGAUACUCUCACUUUAUUGUAUGUAUAGUCCUAUUCCUAUAUACUGGACCCAAAAACUCAGUCAAGCAUAGACUGCUAUUGUUUUGAAUAGUAAGCAUCUUAUUUGAAAGAGUUGGAGGAAGGUUCAUCUGGUUGUAGAUGUUGUUUUUUGACUGAGGUCUGUUGGGAUAUGAUGACUUGAGUCUUUGUGUUUCCUUCUGGUCACAUGACGUCUCUUCUUCUGUCCAUCCUGGAGAGGGGUCCUCCUCUGUUGCUCUCCUGAACGGUUCUUCACUUUUUUCCCCCGUGAACGUUUUUUUUCUCUAUUUUUUGGGGAGUUGUUCCUGAUCCGAUGUGAGGUCAAAGGUCAGGGAUGUCAUAUGUGUACAGACUGUAAAGCCCUCUGAGGCAAAUGUUUAAUGUGUGAUAUUGGGCUAAAACGAACUGAAUUGAAUUAGUUUUGGUUUUACUAAAACAAUAUAUAUAUAUUUUUUUUGUCUGUCACUGUUUUAUAAUGUAUGUCUGAAACUUGUGAUGUGCGGCUGCUGUCUUGGCCAGGACACUCUUGUAAAUUAGAUGUUUUUAAUCUCAAUGAGGCUUUUCCUUGUUAAAUAAAUGUAAAUAAAGAAAAUGUACACAU